UCUCUUACCUGGCAGGGGAAAUACAAUGUUCACCAAGGUGGUUCUCCCAGGGAGAGGCUCAUCCAUUGCACUCCGGGAGUGUUGACCCUGCGAUUUCCCCAAAUGCAGGAAAGUCAACUGCAUAAUUUGUGGUAGUGAGGGACAUUUCCUCC
rnacentral:snRNA from 1 species